GCGUGGUUGGAGUAGUGGUUAACUCGUUGCCCUCCCAUCAUCGGCAAAAGGCAGAAAGUAAGUCAAUAUCUCUCCCAAGAAGGAAUUUCGCUGACGAAACAGCACUGGUUCGAACCCGGUGCCGCGCA